rnacentral:lncRNA from 1 species
CGCGGCAGGGGAGGAGCGGCUUUCUAGACAUCAUCCGGCCGCGGCGGCCAUGGAAAGCGGGGGUCGCGGGUGGUUGGGGACGGAAAUAGAAACCGGGAGACCGGGGGAGGGGGGAAACAGUCGGCGUCCGCCUGCUGAAUUGCUUCCUUCCGGGGACGUUUCCGAGGUUGAGGCUAGCUUGAGCUGAUGAUUGUUGCUGACUGGCAGUUGCGUCGGAAUUUCUUUUUCU